rnacentral:tRNA from 1 species
GCCGGGGUCGACUAACCCGGUAGGUCAACAGCCUAAGAUGCUGUAUUCCGAAAGGAAGUCUGGGUUCAAAUCCCCGCCCCGGCG